rnacentral:rRNA from 1 species
AUUGAACGCUGGCGGCAUGCCUUACACAUGCAAGUCGAACGGUAACAGGUCUUCGGAUGCUGACGAGUGGCGAACGGGUGAGUAAUACAUCGGAACGUGCCCGAUCGAGGGGGAUAACGAAGCGAAAGCUUUGCUAAUACCGCAUACGAUCUACGGAGGAAAGCAGGGGACCGCAAGGCCUUGCGCGAACGGAGCGGCCGAUGGCAGAUUAGGGAGUUGGUGGGAUAAAAGCUUACCAAGCCGACGAUCUGUAGCUGGUCUGAGAGGACGACCAGCCACACUGGGACUGAGACACGGCCCAGACUCCUACGGGAGGCAGCAGUGGGGAAUUUUGGACAAUGGGCGAAAGCCUGAUCCAGCCAUGCCGCGUGCAGGAUGAAGGCCUUCGGGUUGUAAACUGCUUUUGUACGGAACGAAAAGACUCUGGUUAAUACCUGGGGUCCAUGACGGUACCGUAAGAAUAAGCACCGGCUAACUACGUGCCAGCCGCCGCGGUAAGAC